UACGUAGGGUGCAAGCGUUAAUCGGAAUUACUGGGCGUAAAGCGUGCGCAGGCGGUUUUGUAAGUCUGACGUGAAAUCCCCGGGCUCAACCUGGGAAUUGCGUUGGAGACUGCAAGGCUGGAGUCUGGCAGAGGGGGGGUAGAAUUCCACGUGUAGCAGUGAAAUGCGUAGAGAUGUGGAGGAACACCGAUGGCGAAGGCAGCCCCCUGGGUCAAGACUGACGCUCAUGCACGAAAGCGUGGG
rnacentral:rRNA from 1 species